UCUAAGAUUGACAAGAGGCUGGAACAAUACACACAUGCUCUUGAGGUCUCCUCAAAAGAAGGAAAACCCAACUGUCAGGUGCUGACAGACCUGGUGAGUCCUUCUGAACCUGUCACAACCAAAAAGAACCUGUUUGAAGCUGGAGAAGCCUGGAACCAAAACAUCUUUUCAGUUCCAUCAAAGGAUGCAGAUGGUUUAAAAGUUGGUGUGGCUGAUCUCAUCCACCAGUGGGUUAAAGGAGGUGAAGAUGGAAGCAGGAGUAACUCUCCUUCAAAGCCAGCAG